rnacentral:rRNA from 1 species
AUUUGAGUGAGUGGCGAACUGGUGAGUAACACGUGGGAAACCUGCCCAGAAGCGGGGGAUAACACCUGGAAACAGAUGCUAAUACCGCAUAACAACUUGGACCGCAUGGUCCGAGCUUGAAAGAUGGCUUCGGCUAUCACUUUUGGAUGGUCCCGCGGCGUAUUAGCUAGAUGGUGGGGUAACGGCUCACCAUGGCAAUGAUACGUAGCCGACCUGAGAGGGUAAUCGGCCACAUUGGGACUGAGACACGGCCCAAACUCCUACGGGAGGCAGCAGUAGGGAAUCUUCCACAAUGGACGAAAGUCUGAUGGAGCAACGCCGCGUGAGUGAAGAAGGGUUUCGGCUCGUAAAACUCUGUUGUUAAAGAAGAACAUAUCUGAGAGUAACUGUUCAGGUAUUGACGGUAUUUAACCAGAAAGCCACGGCUAACUACGUGCCAGCAGCCGCGGUAAUACGUAGGUGGCAAGCGUUGUCCGGAUUUAUUGGGCGUAAAGCGAGCG